rnacentral:ncRNA from 1 species
AAGGUAUGAUUGAUUGAACUGAGCCUUUUCCAUAUGUGCUUUCUCCAACUAAAAUAGCUCUUUUGUGAUCUUGUAAGGCACCUGCAACUAUUUCUGAAGCUGAAGCAGAGCCAUAGUUUAUUAAAACUAUCAUUGUAUUAGCAUUUAAUAUAUCGCCUUUUUUUGCGAACCAUUUUCUAUUUUCAUAUUUUCUUUUGCUUUUAGUAGAAACAAUUUCUCCGUUAUCUAAAAAAAAAUCUGAUAUCUUUAUUGCUUGAGAAAGAAGACCGCCGGGAUUAUUUCUUA